UCAGGAAGANCACCGGUGGCGAAGGCGGGUCUCUGGGCCGUUACUGACGCUGAGGAGCGAAAGCGUGGGGAGCGAACAGGAUUAGAUACCCUGGUAGUNCACGCCGUAAACGUUGGGCACUAGGUGUGGGGGGCCUUUUCCGGGUUUUCCGCGCCGUAGCUAACGCAUUAAGUGCCCCGCCUGGGGAGUACGGCCGCAAGGCUAAAACUCAAAGGAAUUGACGGGGGCCCGCACAAGCGGCGGAGCAUGCGGAUUAAUUCGAUGCAACGCGAAGAACCUUACCAAGGCUUGACAUGUGCCGGUCGGCUCCGGAGACGGGGUUUCCUCCUUGUGGGGCCGGUUCACAGGUGGUGCAUGGUUGUCGUCAGCUCGUGUCGUGAGAUGUUGGGUUAAGUCCCGCAACGAGCGCAACCCUUGUCUCGUGUUGCCAGCACGUUGUGGUGGGGACUCGCGGGAGACUGCCGGGGUCAACUCGGAGGAAGGUGGGGAUGACGUCAAAUCAUCAUGCCCCUUAUGUCUUGGGCUUCACGCAUGCUACAAUGGCUGGUACAGAGGGCUGCGAUACUGUGAGGUGGAGCGAAUCCCUUAAAGCCGGUCUCAGUUCGGAUCGGUGUCUGCAACUCGACACCGUGAUGUUGGAGUCGCUAGUAAUCGCAGAUCAGCAACGCUGCGGUGAAUACGUUCUCGGGCCUUGUACACACCGCCCGUCACGUCAUGAAAGUCGGCAACACCCGAAGCCCGUGGCCUUAUGGGGA
rnacentral:rRNA from 1 species